GUGACAGAAGAGAGCUAGCACAGAUGGUGUGUUUUCAUGCGUGAUUCUGUCAUGCCUGGAGCUAUUCGUGCUAACCCUCUUUCUGUCAC
rnacentral:pre_miRNA from 1 species